CGGAAUAAUGGGCGCUUUCUCUUCUUCUAGUUUGUUUCUCGAGUGCGUGGUCCACUGCGUCAACAUAAUGUUCAUGACCGCCACCUGCUGCACCGGAGGUAAACAACACCUGUGUCAGCGAAGGAUCGGUGUGCAGGAUUUACUGGCCUCUAGCGGUGAGGUUGAAGAUUGCAACUAACCAAACACUGCGAGAGUUUACAGCGGCCUUGAUUGGUAGGCUAAUUUCAAACCAAUCUGUCCCUUUUAUUUCCAGCGAAAACAUAAUAAUGGAUUGUUUAUUUUAUUUCUUCCAAUAAAGUCCCUAAAUCCACACGGGUUCUCUA